ensembl:lncRNA
GUGCAUAUUAAUGCAGGCAUCAAGUUAUUUUAUUGCAAAUGUCUCAGUUGCAAACAUCCUUGGCAUUGCCUGUAAAACCACUGACUGUGUGUGUAUAGGAACCAGAAAGGUCCACCUACACAUAUUAAACUGAUGUGCAUCUUAGAAUCUUGCACACAUUAAUGCUUUGAUUGUUGAAUAGUUCUAAUGUGUAGACAUAUAAAGUGCAACAGUAUAUCAUAUUAAAGAAUGUCCCUGUGCAUACAUGGUGAAAUAGAGUAGUUUAUAUGCAGUAGACUGUGGGAUUGUAGAAAACCUCAGCAUUACCGCCAUUAUUUUCUGUCACUGUUUGUUUAAGAGAAAUGCACAAUUCUCCUUUGUUUUCAAUGUAAACUUUUAUUAGUAUUCAUAACAGGACAAAUUAGUUCAAUGCCACGAUUUGUCUAAUAAUAAUCAUAUUAGUCUUUACAGACAAGUUGCCUACAUCUUAAAAACAUCAAGAAUCUCACACCAGGAAAUAUAACAUUUAGAAACACACUCAUCAUUGUGAUUCACAAUAAAUUGCAUAGUAAAUGAUUUUUAAUCAUAGUACUAACAUUCCUCUUACAUUUCUAUGUUAAUAAUAAUAAUAAUAAUAAUAAUAAUAAUAAUUAAUAAAAUAAAUACUUGCUUGAUGAUUUAAGGGCAUCACUGUCCAUGAUAACAAAAGUGGGUCUCAAAAUAAAUUGCACAAUUUUCAUUAAUAUGAUCAAAUAUUAAUAUAUUUGCAUAGACCAUUGAAAAUAUAUGUUUGCCUCUGCCCAAAUUUAAUUAUAAGAUCAAGUACUGUAAAUAAUACUUAAACAAAAUAGCUGAUCAGGAAUGAGGAUUAUUAAAAAUACUACUACUACUACUAAUAAUAAUAAUAAUAAUAAUAAUAAUAAUAAUAAUAUUAGUAGUAGUAUUUUACAUUAUUAUUAGUAGAAGGAUUUUACUUGAUUAGUACUGUAAGUGGCAUUAUUACUUCUAAUGACUGCAGGUUCAAUCAGACAACAUAGACAAAAUAAAAUAACAUAACACAGACCAUGUAAAGUAUGGUGUAGUGAUUCUUCUCCUUAAUAGUACACCAGCAUUGUUUAUAACAUAUUUAAAAUAUUGUUUGAAUAAAAAUUUGAAUAAAGGAGGUUCCAUCUGCUCAGGACAGGUCCUGCACUGAUCAUUAAUGAUAGUUAAUAGUUAAUGAUCAUUAAUGAUUAAUGAUUAAUGAUAGCAUGACCAACUCAAUUGCAUAGAGAAUAAAGACAACAGCUCUCUCUAUACCAGGUGUGUAAAUAACACACAGAGCUGUUCAAUCGCAGUGCAGUAACCCUUAACUGCUGCCAUGGGUCUCACAUUCAUGAUCUCUACACCAUUAGUUCAGCAGUCUACAGUUUUCAGAAUCUAACAUUUAGCUACUCAUUUUGAAUAUAGCAUUACAAUCAAGUCUAACAGUGUCAUUUUUAUCAUAGCAGAUGCUCUCAAGCACGUGACACUAAAUACAAGACAUGAGAAAGGGAUGACGGAAAGGUUACACGAAUGUUUGAAGUGCUCUAUGCUAAAGAUUGAGUUUGUGCUAUAUUAAAGCUUUACACUUUAAUUAAUUAGCACUAUAAAUUUAUCUAUUGGUUGGCCUCUGUAAAUAAUAAUAAAUAAAUAAAUAACAUAGCAUUUCAUAUUGUAGCAAACUAAUCUAAGAUGAUAUGUUUGAAUCAAUUGCAAUUACUUGUCCAGAUAGAGGAUGCAGAGCUAAUGUUAGAAUGUCAGAUUAUAAUAGAUUCUAAAUUAUAAUAUAUGAUUACCUUAACAAAAAUGUAAAAGCAGAAAAAAGUAAACAAUUUAAACAUUUUUUAAAAAUGUGCAAAAGAAAUAGAGGCAUUUAAAGUGCUUAAAUGUUAUAAUGUUGGGGCACACAAUGAAAUGGUGCAGACGUCUGGGUCAAGUACUUCAUCAGCAGGCAUUGAUUUGUUAUCCAUGAUCAGAUGUCAUUUAUAAAAAAUCCUCUUUUAUUCUUCCAUCACCUGAAAAAGAGAGGGGAAAAUUAUUAGAUGUGAUUUUGUGAAUACCUUGUCAUUGCCACAGUAAUGUAGCUUUACCCAUCGAUCAUCAUGAAAAAAAUGAAUUCCCUAGCACCAUUUAUACCACAUUUGCAUAUUUUUAAAAAAUACAUUUAGAUCAGUAUUUUAAUGAUUGAAUGCAACAUAAGGACUUGAAGCUCGGGAACAGGGAGCAAGUGCCAGGUGGAAAUUGAGGAUAAAGUUGAAGGCGUCUCAGUGCUUGGUACGCUCUAAGGCUAAAGCAAAGACGAAACAUGUGAUAGACCCUAAGUCCGCAGUGCUGAGAUGGAGUAAGCCCAGCCUCUACUGCACAGCUCAGACAAGCAACUUAAAAUAUUAAGGUCAAGAGGAAAACAAGAAAGCAAGCAGACCACCAUCAUCAUUGCAAAUAUUACUAGGACCUCUACUUCUGGUUCAGUACACAUUGAUUAGAAACAGAAUUACACCAGGCUAGUGUCUGAUUGGUUCUGACUGACAUCAACUUCUUUAUUUUUAGAAGACUGUCAAAUUGCAAUCAAAGACCAAAGAAAGCAAUCUGAGUUGUGUUAAAAUAGAAGUAGACGCAGGGUAACAGGAAAUGUAGGUGACUCUGACACCCUGAAACUACACUAUCAAGGUGCUAAUGAUGUGUUUACACCUUUUUACACUUAUCUAUGGUUAGCUUUGUGCUUUCUCUACAUAUAAUCAAAAGGAAACUCUUCUUAAAAUAUCACUGAAACUAGCAUCUGACUGAAGCUGCAGCAGUAAACGCAGGUGAUAGAAAACAGAAAAAAAAAGACUGUGGUGAAUUGGGGUGAGAGGAAGUACAGACGAGUGUUGAGAAUGAGGGUGAGGGUAUGCCACGGGCGACCGUAGGAAAUAGACGGCACACUGUUGUCAUUGUACACCGAGCUGAAUGAGGUGAAUUUACACCCGCAGCACGUGUCCUGUUAAAGCUGGGCAGCAGGACUGGAAGAGAGGAGGGGGCAGGGGGCUGUUAGUGCUGUAGAAAGACGGUCUGUUUAGAUUCUGGGUAUGUUGGUGGGCACAACCAUUUUGGAGCCAAAUGCGGCACACUGAAUCCUCACUUUUAUAUAUGCAACCCUUCUUUUCAGUUGCUCCAUCAUUCUUUCUUUCUUUUUUUACUUUCUUUCUUUCUUGAUUUCCCUCUCAUUGAAUGAAUAGCCAUUGCAGUGCUACUGUGUAACUGCUCCCCUCCCUCCCCACUCAGGCCUGAAUGGGGGGCUGAAUUGAGCAAACAGUCUGCCUGUCAGCUCAAUAGGCGGUCUGGCCAUGAACUUCAAGUCCUUCCCAGGCCCUCGGUAUUGCUGGUAGAAGGAGGGGGAGGUGAGACGGCGAGAAGGGGUGUACAGACACCCUCAGACUUGGGGGGCCCCGGGUGCCCAUUUUCUUUGCAGGCCUCGGUUGUUCCCAAGACUGGUGCCUGCGUGGAGAGCAGGAGACCAGCUGCUUGGUUGUCCCAAAAGGAGGGGUGGGUGUGUAUGUGCAGACAUGAGAGUGUCUGCCCCUUGCCCAUGCCCUACUUGCCUCCCAGCUAUACACACUCUCCCAGACACACGGUUUCGCUGCGCCCUUGCACCCCAUCAUCUCCUCGCUGCUGUUUGUAUUGUUUUAGCCCUGCAUAAUUUCCUCAGGCAUCUCUAAGCCAAACUCAUCCACCACAUUAACACCUAUUUACGGACACACAAUUACACAAUAAAACUCGGCUUCGUAGAGACCAAGCCUUUAUGUUUUAUAGACAUGGAAUCAGAAAUCACUUAAAUGAUUUUACACAUAACAGAACUUGACCUAGAAACAGUUCACAGAAUAGAAGCUAAUCUUGUGUACAAAAUACCAAAUAGAAUUUAAUCUGCUAAAUGUAUAGACACUGUGUAGACAGACAGCCAGAGCAGCAGGUAAAGAUCUCCAAGUUCAAAUAUUUUACACAACCCCAGUACUGUCUUGCUGUAAUAUUGUUUUGCUAUAUGUCUGGUAUACCCUCAUUAGACCUCACACUUACUGCACCUCCUAUACUAUGAUCUGCGCUUGGAGUGUGACACCCCAUCAGCUGGGCCAUGGCAUGUCUGUCCCCAAACAAAGGCAGCUCUCUGAGCAAAUUUGGGACAAUGGGAAGCAUUGUUUUUCUGCUCUCAUUUUGUUAAUCGGACUCGGCUGACUGUAACUGGUGUUUUAGUUAAGCAGGUAUUAAAGUUAUAGCUCCCUGGUCCUGGUUUACAUAUAAUAUAAAUGUGCUCAUGUCUAAUAAAAAGUAUACAGUCGCUGUAAUAAUUUAAUCAACACUCUGAGAAUGUCAAAUUUGUCAUAUUUUUCCAUUAGUUUUGCACCUCUGUAUGCAGCGAUGCUCUUCAAUGUAGUGCCUGAAGAUGUGAGAUAAAAGUCUCGCUAGCUUUCUUCAAAAUGGCAGCUCGCAAUCUCAGUGCCUGGCAAGGUGGCGAGGAGGGCAGCAAAAUCCCUGAUGGCAGUCUAUUCAAUUCUUGUGCCCACAGAUGCCCGCAUUGACUCCCCCAUUGUGGCAGCAAAUGAUUUAAUACAAGUGAGUACAAAACAAGUCUCCACCCACUUUCGUGCCAGCGACAUGUGAUUUUCACAAUUAAAAAACACAUCUGCUGUAAUUAAAAAAAGUCUCUGUGCUGAAAGAAGAGGGAAUAUACGCUAUGCAUGUGUGUAUGUGUGUGUGUGUGGGUGUGUGUGUGUGUGAGGAUAUGAAAUGGAGGAGAACGAUGGUGGGUCUACCUGCUCAUUCUUCCUCCCUCUUCCAUUUCAUGCCAGCGCUUUCUAAGAUGGUGGUGAAGCAUGGAUUGCCGCUCAUCACAAGAGGAAGGGGCAGGCAGGCAGUGAGAGGAGGGGCUGAGAGCAGCAAUGCAUAGUGGGGCACAGAGAGUCUCAACACCAACCCUCCCCUCCUCCAUAACAUCCUCCAUGUUUUCCUUCCCUUUCGCUGGCAUCUUUUCGACACAGAGACUGGACGUCUGUACGAAAGAGCAAAAAUGGAGAAAGUAAAUGAAAACAUAAACAUGAGUUUGCAGGGCUGGGGAAGUGUUAAAGGGUACACCCAAUCAGACAUGUGCACACACACACACUCUCACACACAUACACACACACACACACACAAACACCUUUUAAUGUCUGUUCACAUGGUAUAGUCUGCCCCGGAGCAUGCAAAUGACUUUCAUUAUGCAAAUGCAUGCAAAUGAGACUCAACCAUCUGAGAAUCAAGGCUGGGAAAAAUCUACACAGAGAGAUUGAAUGAAAAAGAAAGAGAGCAAGGCAUAAAUCCUUUUGCAUGGCAGCAGAAUGCUAACGGAGGGAAAUGUGGAGGGAAGCACCAACAGUGGCCCAGGGUGAACAAAAAAACUAUUUUUGCUGUCUAUACGAGAUCAUACAAUCACUCUCUUUCUCUCUACUUUCUUCCUUAUGAAUGCAUUAUGAGUUUUAAAUGAAUACACAUAAGUACAUAUCUAGGACUGUAAAAAUGGAUGUUUUUGACAUGGUUUAAAUUACAUACCACUGCAGCAGCCACGUUUUUGUCAAAUGACCUUGUUGUCAUUCAAAAAUCCAACAAAUAAGCAGUGGUUGUGAAAUGCAGCUCAAACCAGGAAUGUUCUGUAUCACUUAGAAUGCUCCAAGUUUUUGGAACCCAAAACCCUCACUUGACUUAUAUCAAAUAGAUCAGUUCUCAAGCCUGAUAGAAGCUUGCUUAUGGUUUCACCCUUUGCCAUAUGAACUUAGGGACUCUGCAGCAGCAGGCAACUUAUUGGGACUGCUUAUGGGGUGACUGUGGCUUAGGUGGUAGAGCGGGUUGUCCACUAAUCAUAGGGUUGGCGGUUUGAUUCCUGGCACACACCUUGGGCAAGACACUGAACCCCAAGUUGCUCCCUAUGGCAGACUAGCACCCUGCAAUGGUAUGUGUGUGUGUGUGUGUGUGUGUGAGUGAAUGGGUGAAUGAGAAACAGUGUAAAGCACUUUAUAGAACUGCUAAGGUUAAAAAGCGCUAUAUAAGUACACACCAUUUUACCAUUUAUUCCUCCAGAAGUGCCACAUUGGGAGAUGGACCUUGUUUUAAGGUGACACUGGUUGGAGGUCCAGGGGAGACUGAGUUUGAGGGGGAAAGAGUGUGAGAGAGUUGGAUGGGAUAAAGUUAGAAGUAGAAUUAGUGGGGUGUAGUCUUGCUGAAUGGCAGCAAACCUUCUCUAAUUGGCACUUGACAUUUUUUGCAGAAGCCCUCUAAAGUGGGCCUACUCUUAAGCCCUCUCCAGGCCCUUGUUAGAAAAAUGCCUUAUGCAAAUAGAGUGAAUAGAGACCAUUGUAAAGCCUCUGACAUUAACAGCUGGGGUAACAAUUGUUUGCUUUCUACAAUUUGUAUGCUUUCAGUGAACCUGUAGGUGUGUUAGAGCAUGAGCCGGACAAUUGGCCAAUAUGUGAACAGCCAUACAACUUAUGCACAGGAAACUACUCAUUCUUUAUGAACCUUUGACAAAAUGGACCACGAAAUCACCUUCUCCAUUAUCCACCUAGUUAUUUGCUGCCACUGUCUGUUUUAUUUGUUUGGAUUAUAAUCUAGCAACGCAGUAGUGUGCACACUUAUCUAAUGAGUACAACUACUCAUGAUGCCAUAUUUAGGAUCAUUAAUGUAUUCUGACCAUUCCUAAUAAUAUCAGUCAUAAAGGUGAAAGUCUCCUUCAAAUAAGUUUCCUUUUGCUCUGAUAUCCUCACAGAUAUAAGGUCUGUAUAAAGAAUAGACUUUACGUGUGGCUUGUACAACGUUGACUUGCUAUACUACAUAUACCUAAUUUAAUCUCUGUUCUAUGAGUACACCAGUUGACUUUGCCAACUGUCUAAUGUAUAUUCACAUCUCAACAGGGGUGACAGUAGAGUAGAGGCUGGAGGAACGAAAGAGACAAGCAUUUAGUCCUUAAUUUCCUGUCCCACAGUGCAGCUUUUUUGAGUCUCAGUUGGUGUGUUCGAUAGAAAGAAGGGCAACGACAGGGGUUGGCUAGCUUUGCUCUAACUACAACUCAGCAGUUCUGACUGGACGGUAUUGAAAGGGUAGUAAAAGAACCCAUUGAGUCUGUUUGACAAGUGAGCUAGCUCUAUAGACAGUACAGUUGACUGCAGAGGGGAGUAGAGGGGAAGGAAGAAGAGGGGAGGGAUACAAUUACUGUUUAUAGAGCUUAAGUUGCCUUGAUAAAGGCUUUUAAAACAUUUCCAGUUAUACUUAAAUCAGUAGGUUUACCACACCCCAGUUCUACCUACCUACCUGUUAAUGUUAGGUUAAGUAUAAAUGCAUGAUUAAAAUCCUGUGCUCUGUACUUGUGGCUUUUUGGUUCCACAUUAAAAAAAAAAACAUUCAUUAGAUGUUGGGGUUGCCCUGACAUGCUAGACACCAGGACAUAAAAUGCCAUGUUGACACCAUAUAGAAUAAUACGUUACUCUGGUGUUGUUCGGUUGUGCACAGGAAAAUAUGGUCUUCCUAUCAGAGUGCAUGUGGUGUUUAGAAAAGAGAAGUACAAUAAUGGAAUUGUUCAUUCUUUCAUUUGUUCCCUUACUAUCAAGGCUAACACAGUGUAUUAUGCAGCAGCUGCAUUGCAGCAGGCAGCCCUGACCGUGACCGAUCAGCUGAUGCCGCUGUUUAUUACAUGGCCAAGGGCAGAGACUGGCACACAUGAAUGCUUCAUAUAAACUGCAUAUCACUGAGCCCUUGGUUAUCCAAAUUAUAGCUUACCACAUAGUACACUUGUUACACAAGCUUACACAUUCUUUCUGAUUUAUCUCUUCGUCUUUUCACUACUUGCAAUUUUCAAGUCGAGCUGAACAGAAACAUUUGCCAACUAUGUACAUGUGAAACUAAAUGUGUCCUAAAUGUGACACUUUGAUGAACAAAAAUAGCCUUGACUUAACCAUCAAGGUUUUGUCACCAUAACAGUUUGCUUAAACAUGUCUUAUUACAAGCCCUCUAGAAAAAGGAGAUAUUUACAAGCCUUAAUCUAAAGAAGUAAUGCAUGCUGUCCAGACUCAGUGGUGUAACUCUGAUUGAGAUCAAGUGUAGAGGUGUGAUGCUCUGAUUAGGCAGAGAACUCCAGCUUGCUCUGGCUUCUAUGCUACCUCAAAUUGUGGGAUUGUCCUCCUAAUAGUUGCUGUCAGCAGUAUGGUUCUGGGUCAGUAGCUCUGACCACUGGUUCACAGUGAGGAACAGAAGUGUGUUUGAACCAUUCACUACUAUCCUAUCCAGCUCAUAUUCUAAUAUUGGGUCUAAUUCAGCCCAUUCAUAUGCAGAAACAAGCAUCAGCACCCAUCAGCCACUUUUGGGAGCCACAAAAAAAAAUCUACAUCAGUCAAGUGCUGACCCAUGGAUCAAAUGCUCUUAAAGCAUUGAAUCAGCUGCCAAAUUUGCUUUGGAGAGUUACAGUCUCAAAAUCAAUCAAAACAGUGAUCAAACGGCCAAGUAUUAAAAAUGCAACAGUCAGAGACAUAUUUCAGUUUCCUAAUGGACUUUGAUACAGAAAUAUUUUACUGGUGAACUAAUCCGUGUAGAACAUGGUGUACUGUGUUGAACGUUAUAAAGGCAUCUGUGAGACCCAGUGGCCAUGUGACUGCAACAUUAAGCCCCUGCCUGCAUUUGCUUGUGUUCUGAGAUCAGGAGAUUAAACGUGAUCAUGUUUGUCCAGGCCAUGUGAUUACAUUUACAUUUUACAUUUAGUAAUUUAGAAGACUCUCUUAUGCAGAGUGACAACGUGGAAUCAGUUGAAAGUGCAACAUUAAAAUGUAGAUUCUGAAAUAUAAGAAUAUGAAUCCUCCCAGUGCCAGAGUGGACUAGUCAGUAAAUAAAAUAAUCAUGCAAACUGAAUAUAUUCACUUCAUUCACUUCAAGAAUAUUAAUUCAAGAGUCUUUAAUAAUGUUGUCAACUCUUAGGUAAUCCAUCUCUAUUGUACUACUUUUAAGAAUACAAUCUACUACAGUGUACUGCGUCUCAAAUGAGGUAAACCAGAAAAUCUCAGUCUCAAGGGUCACAGUGUCAAAUCAUACACCAUGAUGAAAAGCACCUUACCGAUUCUGCUCUUUCUGGAUGCCUUUUCAUGUCCUGGGUCUUGUGAGAAGAGAAAGCAAGGGGUGGGAUGUGGAGUGUUGGAUGGGUGUGGCCUUUUAGGUGUGUAAUGGGAUUCUUGUUACUUUCGGUUAUCUAGCUUUAUGAAGAACGUACAUCACUCAUACAGCUAGAUAACCAAAGAUAACAGCCAACCCCUUCGGCCAACCAUCUCUUCCAGCCAUAGGGGGGAAUUAGAGAUUUGGAUUCACACCUAAAAAUAGAGACACCUUUUGAUUAUGUCUGAAAUUAGGACUCUGUGAAAUUAAUGUGCUUUAACAAAACAUUAAUUCAGUGUAAUUUAAUCAGCGUAUAACUGGUUAUAUUUGAAAAAUGGCAUAGGUUCAGUGGUAGAUAAUUAUGCAAUCAUUUACUAAUAAAUAGAGAGUAGUAGAGUAGGUUGUUUCCCCCCCAGUAUUUCUAAAUGCUUAAAAAUUUUAACAUGUUGUCUUGGCUAAUGUGGCAUAAUUUUUUAUAUACUCUCUUUCAAAUCCUCACAAACCUGACAAACUGUGUUAAUGGCAAGACCCAUAACAACACUAACUGCUCUUUCCUUCUCAAAUGCUUCUCUCCCUGGAAAAGGGAAAAUAUGUUCCCUAAAAAUGCUGAUUCUAAAUUUAAAGAAAUUUCUGAGCUCGCAAAAUGAUAAAGACCAACAGUGUUUGUUUUAAUUUCCCACAAAUUCAUCAUCAAGUCUAUAGUCCAUUUGUUUAUCUUAGGAAAAUCCCUGUCUCUUCCUCUGGAGACACACAUACACACACGCACACACACACACACACACACACACACACAGAGCAUAUUCAAAUGAAAGAGGAGUUGGUCGAAUUAAAAGCCUUUGUGCAAGAAGCCAUUCCCCAUUACUGCUCUGAGGUGUUAGAGAGAGAGAGAGAGAGAGAGAGAGAGAGAGAGAGAGAGAGAGAGAGAUCAUAAUCAUGCAGCACAGCUUUUUGUGCCAGCCAAAAUGGCAACAUUGGGUCAAGUUCAAACAUUUUCAUUUUGACUAUGCUCUGUCCAUUUCCCAUCACCUAAUUAUUUUGUUAAUGUCCCCAGAAUUCUGUUUACAGUACAAACUGUCUUGAUUCUAUCUGUUAAUGAUUAGCAUGGUCGCCUAUAUAACACUAAACAAGGAAUUAAGGAUCUAUGCAGCAAACAAUUUUCACAAACCAAAUAUGUUUGUGAAAAUAUGUUAAGGCAUAUGUGUUUACAAAAAACACUCAGACAACAAAUGCCAAUUCAGUCUCACAAUACAGCAAUAGGCACUAUUUAAGUAAUUCAGCAACUUGCAACAACAACAAUAAUAAUUUCAAUUAAUAAAUAAUAAUAAUAAUAAUAAUAAUAAUAAUAAUAAUAAUAAUAAUAAUAAUAAAAACUUACAGGAAAUAAAAUUUAGACUAUCACAUUUGUUAACACGUUGUUUAACUAUUUUACCAUAAUGCCCAUCUUUUCUUUGCUAUUAGAAUACCAAGCAAUAAUUAGUACAUAACCAAAUAUUUACUAAUAUUUGUUAUUAUUAUUAUUAUUACUUACUUACUUACUUACUUACUUACUAUGCACAAUGGCAAUUAGUGUUGUUUAAAAUCCAUCAUGAUGAAUACUAAAAAAUUCUGCUUUAUAAUAAAUAUAUAGUUUGUGUAUUUGCAUAGGCUAUACUACGAUUGGAAUGUAAACAGAAUUUCGAUUUUAUUCACUAUUAGUCAAUCGCUGAAUUUAAUCCCGUGGUCAACCUACUGUCAUUCAUAAUAUCCAUCACCCAGAAUAUUCUAUGAUUGGCUGAACUGUGGAUGAGGUAUUACGCAGCAUCACCGGUGUUAUAAUUGUGUAAUAAUAAAGUGUUAAUAAAAUAAAUACACAAACACAACACUGGUGUUUUAUUAAUGAACCUAUUUGCAAUUAAAUGAUCAUGGUAAGAGUAGAUUUUUAGGCUUCUGCUCGGUUUAUCUUUUUUUUUUUUACAUGACUUGCGUCACACUUUACUAUUUAACAGCGCUUAUAUGACAUGUCGUGAGUGUAAUUGUUUUCAUUUAUUUGCUGGCAUUCCUGUAGCGUUUUGUAAUCACGGGUGGGAUUUGCUGAUGCAUGGACUUGUUGGUAGGGGCUGAAUUUAGUUUCUGCGGUCAGAAGUCGUGCUGGACUGUGAUAUAAUCAUAACGUUACAACUCAUUACAACCUGCUUUGGCUGCAUGGUUUAGGACUCGAUAUGUGGUUUUGGAACUAGCAAACUGAAAUUAUAAAAUGUCGAGGGAUUUAAAAAACAGAUUUUAAAAAAGCCUAAAACAUUACCUAUAUCAUCGGCUCCUGUCCUUCAGACUAUAUCGUGAAGAUUCUGCGAAAAGAAAACAAGAAAACAAACAAACUCACAUGUCGUAUUUGGAAGACACACAUUGGCUGAUUACACCAAUUGUUUUAAUACUAAUAACGGACGCUUGAGCUAAAUUUACGCGUGAAGGUGUUUUAUGCUACUUGACAUCAUUUCAUGAAUUGAAAUAUUUCGGUUAUCUAGUAGUUUAAAUAUUACUUGAAAAUGGUACACGCGGUAGAUGGUUAGUCUUGUGUGUGUGUGUGUGUGUGUGUGUGUGUGUGUGUGUGUUUGUGUGUGUGUGAGAGAGAGAGAGAGAGAGAGAGAGAGAGAGAGAGAUUUUCUACAUGCGUUGCACUGGUCCUAUUGCUUCUACAACUUGAAAAGUUGAAUAAUUCUGGUUAAUUUAAUGCGAGUGUAUUUACACAGUAAACUAGUUUAAUGUUCAGUAUAAUUGUUCUUCCAGUUCUGAGAGCCUAGGGAUCUCUAAACACGCUCUGAGGACAGUUAAAGCGCGCCAUACGCAUAACCCUCACUGACAAACCCAUAGCAUAAAAUCAGAGGUAUGUUCACCAAGCAAACCUAAUGAAAUUAAAUAUCUGUGCAUUAAAUAUCUAAAGGCAAAAAAGAGAGAUUUGUUGUCCAUGCUGAAUGAACGCUGUCACUGACUUGCUUGUAUGCUGAAUUAACAUCCCAGCAAUAAGAGGUUACAUCCAAUUACAAUAAAUGAAAUCUAAAGCACUGAGUGCAUCAGCACGAACAGAAUAGAUAAAUUACAUUUUGAUGAUAUCCAGGACACAGACGUUAGUUUGGGUAUGUAUUUUCUGGAGCAUUAUAUCGAGUCAAGGCGGCGGAGGAAGACAUGUUAAUGCUGGUAUUUUGUGCCUUAUCCAAAUAUAUCCUAAUACAUGCAAAAAGUUGGCAAUUAUAAAGUUGCUUUCACUAAUAAAAAAUAUUUGCCCUCAAUCACCUAUAAGAGAAUCAUGGCUAUCAGGCUACCUAACACAGAGCCCACCUGGCGUCCCUUCACAUGAGGAUUCGGUUAAACUAAACGUUAAAUACUGGUGUGAUCUGAAUAUAUAACCAUAUAUUACAAUAUUUAAUUACCGUUGUCUGUAUAUAUAUAUAUAUAUAUAUAUAUAUAUAUAUAUAUAUAUAUAUAUAUAUAUAUAUAUAUAUAUAUAUAUAUUACACACAAUGCAUCCUUCAGUAGACUGUGCAUCUUAUUAAAAUGAGAGGCAGCUGUGUUGUGCAGCGCGUGCCCCCUGCAUCUUCCGUGAGCGCCUUAAAAGGCAAACGCGCAUUUGUUACCAUCGAAGCACGCUUUUCCCCCUCGAGUUGCUGUUUUUAAUAUGAUCCUCAUUAUGGAGAUAAACACAAUAUACUCACGGGUUUCUCGGUCAAACGGACAGCUCUGCGGUCGAGAACGCCUCGAGCUUUCCAAUGUCGUCUAGUGUUGGCUCGUGCGCUGCGCGGCUGGGGCUCCGCGUGACGUCGCAACGGCCCCAUCCAUUCAGCAUCUCUGGCUAACCCUCCGUUUCUACACCCAUAUGUCCCGUUCAGGUGUCCAUCUCCUUCGGUCCGGAGAGCGAAAUGAGCUACGUGCACGUCCCCCUUCCCUUUCUCUUCCUCUUCCGAGAAUGAACGCUGUUAUGAACCUCGUGGUGCAAGUCAAAAAACAUAUAGCAUCUCUAAGCUCCGCCCUGAUUUACACCAUGCAGUCAGUUUUAGACCACGCCCUCUCCGAGUUUGAGUUCAUUCCCAC